UCUACACUCAGAGACACGAACAGAACAUCGGGGGAGGCCACAGUGAAGGGGGCUGUAUCGUACAUGUAGAUUUGAUUGUUUUUACUGACAGAGCUUCCGAGAGCUGGACUACGUUGUGUCUCUUCACCGUCUGACAACUACAUGCAAACGCUGUAGCUCAAAACUUGUGCUGAGGAGACAACAGCAGACAGCACUGCACCGCCAGAGCAAGACAUCUCGGGGGAGACCUGUGUGUGCAGACACUGUGGACCCGACCCCCCCCCCGGCCACCCUGUGUUAGUUUUGUCAACACAUAGCAAGGCUUGGAAGCUUAUCUCUCAGAAACACAAGCUCUCCAAUGUGGGUCACUUCUUUGGGCUCUGACAGGGACAUGGCUCUCAACGACCACUACAAACAAUCAUUAAUUAAUGUGGCAAGGAUCCGGAUGUUCAAAUGCUUUUGAUUACCCCCUCCCCCCCUUUUGCAGGGGACCCUUGGUGGGUGAUGCACUUUUCCGUUUCAAUUAAAAUCAAGGUUGAGUCACAGCGAAUCAGAAAAUGUUGCCGUUAUGCAGAUUAGCCAGCAGGUUCUUAGCAAGGAUUGAGAGGUCCCUGUGUGAUUUGGUUCAUAAGGGAGAACACUGCCACGCUGCUCCACCCACCCCCAAGAGGAACCAUGCAGAUACUGGAUCAAGUCCCGCAGGACAAUGAGGAGCCAAUUUGGGGCAGCGCUGGCUCUUUUAAAUUACAAACAGCAAAGAGAGAGGCUUGAAUUUUGUGCAGCAGCAGAGCAAAAGUUCCAACUUCUAGACGAACAAACUCAAAGUAAAGCAGCGUUUUCAUUUGGAUCACAGCGGUGCUCGCUUCACUGCCAGGAGGGAGAAAUUACUUUACCUCAGUGCGCGCUUCAUAUGUAUGAGUCCAAGCGUUAUCAGAUCAGCCUCGCAACAGGUGCGAUAAAAUGUCACCCACCACCCAAGAUGGAAUAAGGCAGGAAACACACAUAAGCAAAGCAGACAACACAGGAGAAAGUAGAUUUUAAUUAGUUCUAUUCCUAUAAGCUAGUAGAAGCUGUUAGGUCUGCAAAUAAUCAUUUGUUCUCUGCUUUUAUAGAUAGCUUUUAUUAUAUAGCCUGGGUUCAGCUGUCCUUCAGUAAGUCUUUCAACACAAGCAAAUGAGGGUAGCAGGGUAGCUUAAAGGAAAAAUCCAUCCACAGCAAUGCACAUCAAUCCAUGAUGUUUGUACCAUGUUCAAGGGCUUAUUUGUCAUUGCACGUUGAUUAACAUUUUCGAGAUUCACAUUCGCUUUUAUGAAUGUCCUUUCAUUUUCUUUGCACACAAGGCCUUGACUUGACUAGAAAAUUAAUAUCCAGCAAAAUGCUUUCAUAUAGUGUAACACCACAAGUUCGUGAAGAGUAAUUACAGUAGCUUUUGCUGGCAGACACGGGGAAAAAAAGUCAGUUUUUCAUCUUAAUCCAAAACACACGCGGCUGCAGUAAACUGUAAUUUGUCUUGUGGCUGUGACUGACAACACCGAAACGGCGAUUCUGAGAUUGACACCAAAACCUGCUGAGUUAUUUCCAAUAUGAAUCAUCACUGGAGCUGCUGCAGGCAUCCCAGUAUGGGGUCAUCUUUUUCCAUGUUUGAUAAUGUCACCUCGGAAUUAACUUUCAUACGCAACAGCAGAUCGGAGCCAGACAGCUCAUGCAUUCAUCACCUGUACUGUUGCAGUGUUUUGGUGUGCCUUUUUCUAUACACUAUACAGAACCCAUGACGCAAUUUCUAAAAGCAGAUUGUGAGCCGCUGCAGUAGUAUUAUGCUUCUUUAUCUCCUUUGAAACUCCCAUGGCGGCAGCAGCAGCAGCAGCAGAAGAAGAAGCAGCUUGGGAUUAUUUAAGACAUUGCAUCAGACCCAAACAGCUACUUGUUAUUCAUUUCUUAAUUAUAUAUUUUAGUGCCUACGUUCAUUAGAGAGUAGUUGAGGCUGGUGACAAGCAUACAGAUGACUCAUACUUUGGAUAACGCAUUCAACAUACUUUAUACUUUUCAUACUCCUUCCUUGUUUGGCCUUUCUCUUUUUUUCUUCUUUUUUAAAGUGGAGCUGACAUUGUAAUUAUCGUGCAUCACUGAUGACUCUUCAGGUGAUUGCAAAAUCAUUAAGACUAUACACCGGCAGAUGUUUGGGUCUAAUUGCCCUAUUAGGAGGGAGGGUGGAGGGAAGCUGGGGUUUGAUGUUUGAAUAAACCUGCAGUGUGACCAAUCCUCAGCUGACAUGAUUAGAACCGUGCACCCAG